GUGUGCAUUGGUGUAGAUGCAAUUCAGUUGGGCUACUGAUCCUUCCGCCUUUUGGGGGUGACGAGCCCUAAUUCCUAUGAGACCGUUCUCAGUGGGCUACUUUUCCAGGAUUUCUGGACAUGAAGCAUUAUAGUCAAAGAUACUUCUUCAGCUUAGCACAGAUCCCAGAUGAGCAGACCAGGAAGCUGUACAGUGACAGACAAUGCACACAGGUUAAAAGUGGAAGAGCUGGUCAAUGCAGAUCCAUCUACUUCACCUUGGAAAGACAUCAGGAAUUAGGAAAACACUCAGGAAAGCAAGACUUUGCACUAUUAAGCUGUGCUGCAAAUGGAGCUCAGUAUCAACAAUUAGCAACAGAAAUGUGUUUAGAUGGAAACUUGGGAGUCAGGUCAGCAAAUACUUUGCUCCACCAAAUGUUUGUCUUGACUGAACCAGCUGCAAGAUCAGGCGAGCACCUAGAAUCUUCUCUUUAAGACAGGACUUCUGAAAAACAAA